GAAUCCGCUAAGGAGUGUGUAACAACUCACCUGCCGAAUGAACUAGCCCUGAAAAUGGAUGACGCUUAAGCGGGUUGCCGACACCAGACCGUUUUGAUAAGAAGCGAUCGAAAUGAGUAGGAGGGCGUGGCGGUUUUGUUGUGAAGGAUGAGACGCAAGUCUAUCUGAAACGGCCGCUAGUGCAGAUCUUGGUGGUAGUAGCAAAUAUUCAAGCGAGAUCCUUGAAGGGCGAAGCGGGGAAGGGUUCCACGCGAACAUUGAUUGGGCGUGGGUGAGUCGUUCCUAAGCCGGGUGGUAAUCGUUCUUCGAUCGGCGAAAGGGAAGCGGGUUAAAAUUCUCGCACACGGAUGUGGAGGCGGUGACGCAAAUUGAGGUGGAGACGUUAGCGGUGGCACUGGGCAGAGUUUUCUUUUCUGUUUAACCUGUGAGUGCACUCUGUGGAAUCCGAUUAUCGGGCGAAACAGGUGCUUAUGGGAAGAGCGUCGGGGCGUCCCCGGCGUCCAGUACGCCACCGAUAGCCCUUGAAAAUCCAUCUGCAAUGAAAUUUCACGCCGUGGCGUACCGAUAACCGCAUCAGGUCCCCAAGGUGAACAGCCUCUGCUCAAUAUGAACAAUGCAGGUAAGGGAAGUCGGCA
rnacentral:rRNA from 1 species